UUUUCUUUGUUGCUGGACUU
rnacentral:misc_RNA from 1 species